GACGAACGCUGGCGGCGUGCUUAACACAUGCAAGUCGAGCGGUAAGGCCCUUUCGGGGGUACGACGAGCGGCGAACGGGUGAGUAACACGUGGGUGACCUGCCCUCAGCUCUGGGAUAAGCCUGGGAAACCGGGUCUAAUACUGGAUAUGACUCCAUGACGCAUGUUGUGGGGUGGAAAGCCUUGUGCGGCUGAGGAUGGGCCCGCGGCCUAUCAGCUUGUUGGUGGGGUGANGGCCUACCAAGGCGACGACGGGUAGCCGGCCGUGAGAGGGUGUCCGGCCACACUGGGACUGAGAUACGGCCCAGACUCCUACGGGAGGCAGCAGUGAGGAAUAUUGGUCAAUGGCCGAAAGGCUGAACCAGCAACGCCGCGUGAGGGAGUGAAGA
rnacentral:rRNA from 1 species